UGAAGCCCAUUUCUGGUGUCCCCGCCGUGAUAUUUGCUGGAAUAUUGCUGAGUGCGGCGUAAAUCUAGAGCUCGCUCACUCAA